rnacentral:rRNA from 1 species
GACGAACGCUGGCGGCGUGCCUAAUACAUGCAAGUAGAACGCUGAAGGAGGAGCUUGCUUCUCCGGAUGAGUUGCGAACGGGUGAGUAACGCGUAGGUAACCUGCCUGGUAGCGGGGGAUAACUAUUGGAAACGAUAGCUAAUACCGCAUAACAGUAGAUGUUGCAUGACAUUUGCUUAAAAGGUGCAAUUGCAUCACUACCAGAUGGACCUGCGUUGUAUUAGCUAGUUGGUGAGGUAACGGCUCACCAAGGCGACGAUACAUAGCCGACCUGAGAGGGUGAUCGGCCACACUGGGACUGAGACACGGCCCAGACUCCUACGGGAGGCAGCAGUAGGGAAUCUUCGGCAAUGGACGGAAGUCUGACCGAGCAACGCCGCGUGAGUGAAGAAGGUUUUCGGAUCGUAAAGCUCUGUUGUAAGAGAAGAACGAGUGUGAGAGUGGAAAGUUCACACUGUGACGGUAUCUUACCAGAAAGGGACGGCUAACCACGUG